rnacentral:rRNA from 1 species
GAGUUUGAUCCUGGCUCAGAACGAACGCUGGCGGCAUGCCUAACACAUGCAAGUCGAACGAGACCUUCGGGUCUAGUGGCGCACGGGUGCGUAACGCGUGGGAAUCUGCCCUUGGGUUCGGAAUAACAGUUAGAAAUGACUGCUAAUACCGGAUGAUGACUUCGGUCCAAAGAUUUAUCGCCCAGGGAUGAGCCCGCGUCGGAUUAGCUAGUUGGUGAGGUAAAGGCUCACCAAGGCGACGAUCCGUAGCUGGUCUGAGAGGAUGAUCAGCCACACUGGGACUGAGACACGGCCCAGACUCCUACGGGAGGCAGCAGUGGGGAAUAUUGGACAAUGGGCGAAAGCCUGAUCCAGGCAAUGCCGCGUGAGUGAUGAAGGCCUUAGGGUUGUAAAGCUCUUUUACCCGGGAUGAUAAUGACAGUACCGGGAGAAUAAGCCCCGGCUAACUCCGUGCCAGCAGCCGCGGUAAU